rfam:Eutrema salsugineum unplaced genomic scaffold scaffold_2, whole genome shotgun sequence.
GAAUGAAUGUAGCAUGGUACUGUGCACGGAAACUGAGCUUAAGCGGAUCGACAUGUCUGCCAUCUCUGAAUUUUGUGAUGAGAGGGCCUGGUUUAGAUCUACAUUC